CGACGGAGUGAGACUCUGUCUCAAAAAAAUAAAAUAAAAAUAAAAUAAAAUAAAAUAAAAUAAAAAUAAAUAAAAAAUAAGUAAAUAAAAUAAAAUAAAAAAAGAAAAUCAGUGACAAGGAAUCUGAGGAAGAUGUAUGUAGAUAAAUUUCUCUGAGUGGGUACAGAGUGUGAAGAUAAAUUUGAGCCCCAUUUAGAAGCUCCUCAAUGAGGAACAUCAGAAGAUGUUAAUAGUCAGGUAGAUAAGAUGAUGCAGUCCAUGAAGUCAGUUACCUUCUUUCAACAGUCACCUUUGUCCUUGCUCAAUAGACUCCUGAACAAUGUGGCCAUGGUGGAAGGGAUGGCGAUUACUCAUGGGUUAGCAAUAUGAACCUCCACUCUCUAAAGCUGAUAUGACUAUAGCCACUUCUGAGUGCCCAACCUGCCAACGGCGGAUACCAACACUAGUUCUCCAUUUCCUGAGGGUGUGGAGGGGGUGGGGGAGUUGAGUCAGCCACCUGCAGCCAGGUUGAUUAUAUUGGACUGCUUCCACCGUGCAAAGGCAUCUUUAUUCUUACUGGAAUAUACCCUUACUUUGGAAAUGGAUUUGCCUUCCAAGACCACAUUCCGUGGACUUCAGAGCACUUCAUUUACCAUCAUGGUAUUUUGAAAGGAUUGCUUCUGACCAGAAAAUAAUUUUACUUUACAUCAAAUGAGGUGUGUCAGUGGGUUAAUGCUCACAGAAUUCACUUGUCUUACCAUGUUUCCCAUUACCCUGAAGUAAUAGCCUAAUACAAUAGUAAAAGGAGUUUUGAAGACUCAGUUAUAGUGCUGGCUGGCUGGCAAUACUUUGCAGGGCCCAGGAAAUGUCCUCCAGGAUGUGGUACAUGCUCAGCUACCAAGAUAUGGUGCUGCCUGUCUCAUGGCCAGGAUUCUCAGGCCCAAGACACAAGGGUGACUCCUCUCACUAUUACUCCUAAUAAUCCAGUAGUGAAUAUUUUGCUUUCUGUCUCAGCUAUGUGAUCAGUUACAGAAAUAAUGAUGGUAGCAAUUAUAGCUAUUUCAGUCUUACUUUGAAGUGUAUUUGUAUAUAUUUUAACCAAUUCUUUUUCUUUUCUUCUCCUAUGUCAUUUCCUUACUAUCUAACAUCUGUUAAUAGUGGUUAACUAAGCAUCUCAUUACUUAGGUUAACAGAAUGCAAAUAGAGAUCUGUGACUCACUAGAUGAGAAACAAAUGUCACCCAAAGACAGAUAAGGGGACUUUGUAGCCUCUUUUAGCAAGAGAGUUGAUACUUUUUUGUUGUUAUAAAAGAGGUUCUGAGGCCAGGCGUGAGGCACUGCGCCCGGCCCUAUGCCAAUUUUUUGAGGGUUUUUAAUCAUAAAAGGAUGUUGGAUUUUAUCAAAUGUUUUUUCUGCAUCUAUUGAGAUGAUCAUAUGAUUUUUGUUUUUAAUUAUGUUUAUGUGAUAUAUCACAUUUAUUGAUUUGCAUAUAGUGAACCACCCCUGCAUCACUGGUGUAAACCCUACUUGAUCAUGAAGUAUUAUCUUUUUGAUAUGCUGUUGGAUUCUGUUACCUAGUAUUUUGUUGAUGAUUUUCUGCAUCUAUGUUCAUCAGUGAUAUUGGUCUGUAGUUUUCUUAUUUUGUUAUGUCCUUUCCUGGUUUUGGUAUUAGGGUGAUACUGGCUUCAUAGGAUGAUUUAGGGAGGAUUUCCUUUUUAUCUUUUCGAAUAGUUUCUGUAGGACUGGUAUCAAUUCUUCUUUGAAUGUCUGAUAGAAUUCAGCUGUGAAUCCAUUUGGUCGUGAUCAUUUUUUGUUGUUGUUGG
rnacentral:lncRNA from 10 species